AGGGGUGUAGCUCAGUUGGUAGAGCAGCGGUCUCCAAAACCGCAGGUCGGGGGUUCGAGUCCCUCCGCCCCUGCCA
rnacentral:tRNA from 1 species